rnacentral:rRNA from 1 species
GGAAAGGCUAACGGUGGAUACCUAGGAACCCAGAGAUGAGGAAGGGCGUAGUAAUCGAUGAAAUACUUCGGGGAGUUGAAAAUAAGCAUAGAUAUGGAGAUUCUCGAAUAGGGCAACCUCUCGAACUGCAGCUGAAUCCAUGGGCAGGCAAGAGAUAAAUUGGUGAACUGCAACAUCUUAGUAGCCAGAGAAAAAGAUAGCAAAAGUGAUUCCCGUAGUAGCGACGAGCGAAAUGGGAGAAGCCUAAACCGUCAAAAUGGGGUUGUGGGAGAGCAAUACAAGCGUCGUGCUGCUAGGCAAAGCAGCCUGAAUUUUGCACGCUAGAUGGCGAAAGUCAUGUAGAUGAAAGCAUCACUAUCUUACGCUCUGACCCGAGUAGCAUGGGGCAUGUUGAAUCCCGUGUGAAUCAUCAAGGACCACCUUGCAAGGGUAAAUACUCAUGGGUGACCGACAGCGAUGUAGUACUGUGAGGGAAGGGUUAAAAGAACCCCCAUCGGGGAGUGAAAUAGAACAUGAAACCGUAAGCUGCCAAGCAGUGGGACGAUCCAGGGCUGUGACCACGUGCCUGUUGAACAAUGAGCCGGCGACUAAUAGUUUGUGGCUUCGUUGAGGGAACCCACCGGAGCCAUAGCAAAGGCGAGUCACUACUUAUAGACCUGAACCUUGGUGAUCUAUCCAUGACAAGGAUGAAGCUUUGGUGAAACUAUGUGGAUGUUUGAACCAACUGAUGUUGAAGAAUCAACGGAUGAGUUGUUGUUAGGGGUGAAAUGUAACUCGAACCAGAGCUAGCUAGUUCUCCCCGAAAUGCAAUGAGGCACAAAAGUUGACUAGACAUCUAAGGGUAAAGCACUGCUUCAGUGCAGGCCGCGAGAGCGGUACCAAAUUGAGGCAAACUCUGAAUACUAGAUAUGACCUCAAAAUAACAGGGGUCAAGGUCGGCUAGUGAGACGAUGGGGGAUACACUUCAUCAUCGAGAGGGAAACAACCCGAUUCAGCAGAUAUGGCCCCUAAAUAUCACUCAGUGAUAAAGGAGGUAGGGGUGCAGAGACAGCUAGGAGGUUUGCCUAGAAGCAGCCACCCUUGAAAGAGUGCUAAUAUCUCAGUGAUCGAGCACUCUUGUACCGAAGAUGAAUGGGGCUAAGCGGUCUGCCGAAGCUGUGGGAUGUAAAAAUACACCAGUAUGGAAGCAUUCCGCCUUAGAGAGAAGCCUUCGCGCGAGAGAUGGUGGACAAAGCGGAAGUGAGAAUGUCGGCUUGAGUAACACAAACAUUGGUGAGAAUCCAAUGCCCCGAAAACCUAAGGGUUCCUCCGCAAGGUUCGUCCAUGGAGGGUGAGUCAGGGCCUAAGAUCAGGCCGAAAGGCGUAGUGGAUUGACAACGGGUGAAUAUUCCUGUACUACCCCUUGUUAGUCUCGAGGGAAUGAAGAGGCUAGGUUAGCCGAAAGAUGGUUAUCGGUUCAAGAACGUAAGGUGUCCCUACUUUUUCAGGAUAAGAAGGGGUAGAGAAAAUGCCUGGAGAAAAUGUUCGAAUACAAGGUGCUACGGCGUUGAAGUAACCCAUGCCAUACUCCAAGGAAAAGCUCGAACGACGUUAAGCAAGAGGGCACCUAUACCCGAAACCAACACAGGUGGGUAGGUAGAGAAUACCUAGGGGCGCUAGACAACUCUCUCGAAGGAACUCGGCAAUAUAGCCCCGUAACUUCGGGAGAAGGGGUGCCUCCUCACAAAGGGGGUCGCAGUGACCAGGCCCGGGCAACUAUUUACCAAAACACAGGUCUCUGCAAAGUCGUAAGACCAUGUACGGGGGCUGACGCCUACCCAGUGCCUGAAGGUCAAGCAAGUUCAUAAGCUGAUGACAGGGGUGCCAGCGACUAAAGCCCCGUUGAACGGCGGCCAUAAAUAUAACGGUCCUAAGGUAGAAAAAUUCCUUGUCAGCUAAGUUCCGACCCGCAUGAAAGGCGUAAUGAUCUGGGCACUGUCUCAGAGAGAGGCUCGGUGAAAUAGACAUUUCUAUGUAGAUGCGGACUACCUACACCUGUAGAGAAAGACCCUAUGAAGCUUCACUGUUCCCUGGGAUUGACUUUGAGCCUUUCCAGCGUAGCAUAUGUGGAAGGCGAAGAAGGCCUCCUUCCGGGGGGCCCGAGCCAUUAGUGAGAUACAAUUCUGGAAGGGCUAGAAUUCUAACCUUGUGUCAGGAGCUACGGGCCAAGGGACAAUCUCAGGUAGACGGUUUCUAUGGGGUGUAGGCCUUCCAAAAGGUAACGGAGGCGUGCAAAGGUUUCCUCGGGUCAGACAUAGAUUGGCCCUCGAGUGAAAAGACAGAAGGGAGCUUGACAGCAAGACCUACCUGUCAAGAAGGGACGAUAGUCGGCCUUAGUCAUCCGACGGUGCCGAGUGGAUGGGUCGUUGCUCAACGGAUAAAACUUACUCUAGAUAUAACAGACUGAUCUUCACAAGAGCUCACAUCGACGGGAAUGUUUAGCACCUCGAUAAUAGCUCUUCGCCACCUAGGGCUGUAGUAUGUACCAAGGGUUGGGUUGUUCGCCCAUUAAAGCGGUACGUGAGCUAGGUUCAAAACGUCGUGAGACAGUUCGGUCCAUAUCAAUUGUGGGUGUUAUAGCAUUGAGAGGACCUUUCCCUAGUACGAGAGGACCGGGAAGGACGCACCUUUUGUGUACCAGUUAUCAUAACCACGGUAAAUGUUGGGUAGCAAAGUGCGGAGCGGAUAUCUGCUUAAAGCAUCUAAGUAGUAAGACCACCCCAAGAUGAUUGCUCUCCUAUUCUGACUUCCGCAGAGCUUUCGGUAGCACAGCCGAGACAGCGACGGGUUCUCUUCCCCUGCGGGGAUUGAGCGACAAAAGUUUUUUUGAUAAUUCUAGAGAAGGUCAGGGCGAGACGAGCCGUUUAUCAUUACAAUAGGUUUCAAGUGGAAGUGCAGUGAUGUAUGCAACUGAGGCAUCCUAACAGACCAGUAGACUUGAAC